GCCUCAUACAGGGGGAUAGCAGCUGGAAACGGCUGAUAAAACCGCAUAAGCGCACAGUAUCGCAUGAUGCAGUGUGAAAAACUCCGGUGGUAUGAGAUGGACCCGCGUCUGAUUAGCUGGUUGGUGAGGUAACGGCCCACCAAGGCGACGAUCAGUAGCCGGCCUGAGAGGGUGACCGGCCACAUUGGGACUGAGACACGGCCCAA
rnacentral:rRNA from 1 species